GAUCCCAGGGUCUGAGAGAGAGCCAAGAUGAAUAUGGCCUUCCAAGAAGACAUGCUGACAAGAAAAGACUCAGAGUGCCCAGGAGCUUCCCCUUCCUACCAACCCUGCAGCCUGGAACCCUAGCCAUACCUCUCCCUGACUGUGGACAGUACAGCCUUUGAGCUGAGCCAAGCUGCUCCCCUGGCGAUUUCCAUAAGAGUACCACUUAUCAGCACCUUGGACAGCAUACAAAUGAUUCUGCAUCUCCAGAAAUUGUCACAGCCACCCCAACCUUCAGCUACCACUACCCUGAUUCAUCAGCAUCAAUACCAAGGCAACAUCCUCCACCAGAAAAAGAUUACAACUCAAGCACAUUCACCUGGGGAUCUGGCAAGAUGGCUGAAUAGCAACAGCUCCGGUCUGCAGCUCCCAGCGAGACCAACACAGAAGGAAGAACUGGUCCUUCAGCCAAGGGCAGCACUGAGCCCCAAGUGGCCCCAGAUGAGUGCAAAGGACUACCAGUUUUGAUCAGCGACUGGUUGAAUCCGUGGAUGCAAAACCUGUGGAUACAGAGGGACAGAGGCCUACUGUACAUGGCACAUGG
rnacentral:sRNA from 1 species